rnacentral:rRNA from 1 species
AGAGCGAACGCUGGCGGCAGGCUUAACACAUGCAAGUCGAGCGGGCACUUCGGUGUCGAGCGGCAGACGGGUGAGUAACACGUGGGAACGUACCCUUCGGUUCGGAAUAACGCUGGGAAACUAGCGCUAAUACCGGAUACGCCCUUUUUGGGGAAAGGUUUACUGCCGAAGGAUCGGCCCGCGUCUGAUUAGCUAGUUGGUGGGGUAACGGCCUACCAAGGCGACGAUCAGUAGCUGGUCUGAGAGGAUGAUCAGCCACACUGGGACUGAGACACGGCCCAGACUCCUACGGGAGGCAGCAGUGGGGAAUAUUGGACAAUGGGCGCAAGCCUGAUCCAGCCAUGCCGCGUGAGUGAUGAAGGCCUUAGGGUUGUAAAGCUCUUUUGUCCGGGACGAUAAUGACGGUACCGGAAGAAUAAGCCCCGGCUAACUUCGUGCCAGCCGCCGC